UGUGUGUCUGAUAUCUCGGUGAAGAGGAUCACGUUUCGGCCGUGAUUGUGGGUUAUGGUUUAGCUCUAUCAGGGGU
rnacentral:tRNA from 1 species